GGGUCAACUCGGAGGAAGGUGGGGAUGACGUCAAGUCAUCAUGCCCCUUAUGUCCAGGGCUUCAAGCAUGCUACAAUGGCCGGUACAAAGGGCUGCGAUACCGCAAGGUGGAGCGAAUCCCAAAAAGCCGGUCUCAGUUCGGAUUGGGGUCUGCAACUCGACCCCAUGAAGUCGGAGUCGCUAGUAAUCGCAGAUCAGCAACGCUGCGGUGGAUACGUUCCCGGGCCUUGUACACACCGCCCGUCACGUCACGAAAGUCGGCAACACCCGAAGCCGGUGGCCCAACCCUUGUGGAGGGAGCCGUCGAAGGUGGGGCACCGCUUGAGAUGCAGUUGUAACCAGGUAGCCCUGCCUUAGUCGUGAGGCCAGGUCCCCUCCUAAUCUAGAGCAUCGCGAGUCGCA
rnacentral:rRNA from 1 species